rnacentral:lncRNA from 1 species
GUGAAAGUCUCCAAGCAGAAGUUUUCCAUCCCACUGUCUGCAGGACUCCUGCAGGUCUUCUGAUGCUUAAGAUCUGUCUCAGGCUACCCCUAAAAAGAAAAAGCAGUAAUCUAGCAAAAUGAACUCAGAACACAUGAAGAGGAGCCACUGGAGACUAAUCUGCAAGGUAUUCAGGUGUUACUGUUGAGCAGAAAUUGGAAGGAAACUGUGAGGGUCAGUAGAUUGAGAAAAUGGCCCUGCCCAUCUUCGCGGGAAACUAUAAACCUCACCACUGUGGGACAGGAGUGACCAACAGUGACCAGCUUCGCUGCCUUGGGAGCAACCCCAUUAGCUGUAUUUUUCAAAUAAGUUUCACUGAUGACAUGCAAAUCAGAAUCUGUUGACCACUGGCUGUUCCAGAAAUGAUGUCAAAGCCAG